rnacentral:tRNA from 1 species
GUAAGAAUGGCCAAGUGGUCUAAGGCGCCAGACUCAAGAGUAAAUGUUAUCCCGUAGAGGGAGUUGGGUGUUCUGGUCCACUGAUGUGGGGGUGGAUUCGAAUCCCACUUCUGAUACU